ensembl:Y_RNA Y_RNA Y RNA
AGUCUGUCCAAGUGCAGUGAUGUUUACAACUAAUUGAUCACAACCAGUUAUAGGUUUCUUUGUUCCUCCUUCACUCCCACUACUUCACUUCGCUAGCCUUUA